ACGACAUAGACUUGCACAUGUGUUGAUCGUCCAAAUGUCAUCUACUUGUCACACACGUCAGCCAUUUAUGCAUGACUCGUUGAAAGUUCAACCGCAAUCCCUGGUGCUCGCGUAUCUUCCAGAAAGUAUUACACUAUUGACUUCGCGCAUACAGUGUGGUCACACAAGGUUCGGCGACAACGUAGAAAGUUGAUAGAAUCAGCUAUAACAUUCAAGUUAGUUCCGAUGCAUCGAGGCACUUCUUGCGUUGAGGGCAAGUUGUUAGCGGGUAAAAUGUAGUUCCCAAAGAAAAGAAUAAACAAGCACGCGGGUAAAUAUAUUUAUUAGGUUUUGCACAGUAUGUGUGUGGAACAGCGCAGAGAACGGAUGGGGUGUACUUUAAAAAUGGUUUGAGAUUCUCCAGCUAAGCACAAGUGCAAAAUCAUAGGAGUUUGGCUGAAAUAGAAAUGGGCACACCACCUCCGCCAAUCGAACCGACGUCGUAGAUGUGGGUCACGACGUGCGGGUCCCUAUAUAGAGAUACCUAAUAAACAGACCAUUCCUUUACAUCUUAAGUAAACACGUCGUUGCUAGGAACACUACACUACCAUGCAACACCAACGCACUCGAGAGUUUAUAGACAAGUAACAGUACCAUAACCCAUGUGUCGUUGAAAUAAACGAGGAAGCAGAAAUGCUGCAAUAGCGCACGUAUGCGCCUGUAUAAACUUACAUUUACGACUACUGAAUAGGCGGAUAUUGAUUUGGUUUAUUGAUUUUCUUGCUUCAUAACUUUUAUCUUAUUUCCUUUCCCAGAUGAAACAGGCGGCCUACCAUACACUCUGAAGUUCUGGAAUGAACAAGAAAGGUGUGGUAUCCUCCAACUUCAUUAUGAAGGCAAAAAUCACUACGAAAUGCACACAUGGGAUAGUAAAGUUGACCAGACAGCAACAAAUUGCGAAAGGAACUACAAUAAUUUUAUGGGCAAAGGAACAUCAUACGACGUUUAUGCAAGCAGCUGCAAGUCUGCCGCCUAGAGACGCUGAUGUGAAAGUUUCUCACAUGAUCGGCCUCUUGGUGAAAAUUCAAUCUGAAAAGUAUAGUUUGUAGAAUGUAGCAGUAAAUUAGAGUAUUUCUUAAAAAUCAGAAA